rnacentral:tRNA from 1 species
GCCCGCUUGGCACAGCGGUAAUGCGCCUCACUAGUAUCAGAAGAUUCUACUGAGAAAAGCAAAUGAGGAGAUGACUGGUUCGACUCCAGUAGUGGGCA